GUGUAUUUGGAAAUAUCCCUAAUACAGGAUCACUUGGAUCCGUCGGCGAUGACGAGCGCGAAAGAAUGCGAAAAGUCCUCACGGAAUGCUCUAAUUAUGAGAUAAUCUCAUGGAUACUCCCUGGACUUAAGCAUAUCAUUAAGGGAAGGAAAAGAAACUAACUAGGAUUCCGUUAGUAGUGGCGAAUGAACACGGAAGAGCUCCAAUGGUAAAGCCUAAGUGCUGUUGUAAUGUAGCCUCCGAAAACAUUCUGGAAAGGAUGACCACAGUGGGUGAUAGUCCCAGAGGAGGAUGUAAAGAAUAGAGUAGUGCUGCUUGGUAGUGCAGUAUGAAGAGGAGGUAGAAACUUCUAAAGCUAAAUACAGACGGAUACCGAUAGAGAAGAAGUAGUGCGAACGAAAGUUGAAAAGAUCUCAUCUAGAGAAUGAAAAGUGAAAGUAUUAGGGCGUAAGCUGAUGACAUCAGACCCGUAUUGAAACACGGACCAAGGAGACUUUGAGUAUAGCGAGGCGAAGGAUGUGAGUCCCACCCGCGAGAAUCUACAGUUAUACUGAUAGACCCGAAAGCAGUGACUAUACUGCUCUGCUGACGCCCGGCAACCGUGGUGAGAGCUAGUCUAUUGUGUCACUCUUGACGGAGUGGUUAGGGCAAAACCAUCGACUGCUGUACUGGUCGGC
rnacentral:ncRNA from 1 species